GACGAACGCUGGCGGCGUGCUUAACACAUGCAAGUCGAACGGAAAGUCCCAGCUUGCUGGGUGCUCGAGUGGCGAACGGGUGAGUAACACGUGGGUGAUCUGCCUCUAACUUCGGGAUAAGCUUGGGCAACUGGGUCUAAUACCGGGUACGUCAGUCGUUUAUCGUCGGUUGUGGAAAGUUUUUUCGGUUAGGGAUGAGCCCGCGGCCUAUCAGCUUGUUGGUGGGGUAAUGGCCUACCAAGGCGUCGACGGGUAGCCGGCCUGAGAGGGUGGACGGCCACAUUGGGACUGAGAUACGGCCCAGACUCCUACGGGAGGCAGCAGUGGGGAAUAUUGCACAAUGGGCGGAAGCCUGAUGCAGCGACGCCGCGUGGGGGAUGACGGCCUUCGGGUUGUAAACCUCUUUCGACAGGGACGAAGCUUUGGUGACGGUACCUGUAUAAGAAGCACCGGCUAACUACGUG
rnacentral:rRNA from 1 species